rnacentral:rRNA from 1 species
GACGAACGCUAGCGGGAGGCCUAACACAUGCAAGCCGAGCGCUAGAGCCUCUUCGGUGCCCUGAGUGCGGCGCACGCGUACGGAUCACGUGUGCAACCUGCCUUUAUCUGGGGCAUAGCCAUUCGCAAGGAAGAUUAAUACUCCAUAUUAUACUGAAUGGCAUCAUCUGGUAUUGAUAACUCCGGUGGAUAGCUAUUGGUACGUGCACGAUUAGAUAGUUGGUGAGGUAACGGCUCACCAAGUCAGCGAUCUUUAGGGGGCCUGAGAGUGUGAUCCCCCACACUGGGACUGAGACAAGGACCAGACUCCUACGGGAGGCAGCAGUGAGGGAGAUAGGACAAGGGAUGAGAGCAUGAUCCAGCGAACCCGCGUGAAGGAAGACGGCCCUAGGGGUGGUAAACUUCUGUUGGAUAGGGAUAAACCUAGAUACGUGUAUCUAGCUGAAGGUACUAUACGAAUAAGCGCCGGCUAACUCCGUG